rnacentral:lncRNA from 1 species
GGGGCAUGUUUGUGUCAGCUGUUUUGCCCGAGGUUAACACUUCCAUCCUUGAAGCUGGUUUCAUGGUGUGGUGGGGCUCGUUCAAUCAGUGGAAUGUCUGGCCAGAGUAAAAAAGAGAGUAUGAAUUUUCUCAACGCUUUACAAUUUAACAACUGGGCAAUUCUUGCAACAUACAGACACGACCUCAGCAGGGUGUAGUGUUAUCCAAACACUUAUGACGCUGAUGCAGGAGGAUUGAAAAUUUGAGCUGUCGAGGCAAUUCAGCAACUUAGUGGAAGCCUGUCUUAAAAAUAAAAAGGUAUUUAAAAAAAAGCCAGACAGCACAAAAUUGGGAUGUAGCUCAGUUUAAAGCCCUCUGUUCAAUCUCCAGUACUGGGGGUGGGAGGGACAGUGAGACGCUUGAGGGAGAGAGAUUGAAGAAGACAGUUUUAGGAAGAAAGUUCUGAAAGUUUUUUUUUUUUCUGAAAGUAUUUUGGACAGAGCAAUCAGAGAAAAGAUAUUUAAUCUGUUAAAGUUUACAUUCUCUUUUACAUUAGUUUCUGCUUCCUUGAAAAAGAAAUCUUUUCCCUGUGAUGAAUGUUAUCAUUAUGUAUAUCUAAAAGGUACCAGGGAUCGAACUCAGGACCUUGUGCUUGCAAGGCAGGCUCAGUGC